UUAUGGCCAUAUCACAUUGAAACACCAGUUCUCAUAUGAUCACUGAAAUUAAGCAAUGUUGAACCCAGUCAGUACCUAAAUGGGUGCCCACUAGAGAAUACCAGGUGCUGUUA